GAACGCACCUUGCACCCUUUGGUAUUCCGAAGGGUACGCCCGUUUGAGUGUCAUUGUAAUCUCACACCCCAAGACUUUUGUCGAAAGGGAUUGUGGACUUGGACGCCGUUGUGUUACUACGACUCGUCUCAAAUGCAUGAGUGUACCCUGUGUCCGCAGCGUAUUCGGUGUGAUAAGCAUCUUCACCGGAGUCAAGCCCUUCUGGGGCGCGCUUGCAAAUGUGGGCUCUAUGCUGCAAACUGUCUUUGGACAAUCACUUGACAAUUUGACCUCAAAUCGGGCGGGACUACCCGCUGAACUUAAG
rnacentral:misc_RNA from 1 species